CCUCUAGGGCACCCACAGGUGGGCCAUGCAUUGCCACCUGCCAUACCUGCAUCAGCACCCCAACUCCUAGUCCCAGCCUGAUUAUACAAUGCACCAUGUGCCAACACUCCAUACAAAUGCUGGAAACACAAACAGCCAACUGCCCCACAGCCACCUGGACCCACAUAUCCCUCCCCCCCCCCCCGCCUCCUUAGGGGCACCCACAGGUGGGCCAUGCAUUGCCACCUGCCAUACCUGCAUCGGCACCCCAACUCCUAGUCCCAGCCUGAUUAUACAAUGCACCAUGUGCCAACACUCCAUACAAAUGCUGGAAACACAAACAGCCAACUGCCCCACAGCCACGUGGACCCACAUAUCCCUCCCCCCCCCGCCCGCCUCCUUAGGGGCACCAUCAGAUGGGCCAUGCAUUGCCACCUGCCAUACCUGCAUUGGCACCCCAACUCCUAGUCCCAGCCUGAUUAUUCAAUGCACCAUGUGCCAACACUCCAUACAAAUGCUGGAAACACAAACAGCCAACUGCCCCACAGCCACCUGGACCCACAUAUCCCUCCCCCCCCCGCCUCCUUAGGGGCACCCACAGGUGGGCCAUGCAUUGCCACCUGCCAUACCUGCAUCAGCACCCCAACUCCUAGUCCCAGCCUGAUUAUACAAUGCACCAUGUGCCAACACUCCAUACAAAUGCUGGAAACACAAACAGCCUACUGCCCCACAGCCACCUGGACCCACAUAUCCCUCCCCCCCCGCCUCCUUAGGGGCACCCACAGGUGGGCCAUGCAUUGCCACCUGCCAUACCUGCAUCGGCACCCCAACUCCUAGUCCCAGCCUGAUUAUUCAAUGCACCAUGUGCCAACACUCCAUACACAUGCUGGAAACACAAACAGCCAACUGCCCCACAGCCACCUGGACCCACAUAUCGCUCCUGCAUCCUUAUAAUGGGGCGGCUUGGUUUCUCAGGCAUUCUCUAAUGGUGGAGCGCCUAUCUUCAGCUCAGUUUCUGGGUCUCUCUCGUGGGGCGGCUUUGUGCUCAGGCGUUCUCUAAUGGUGGAGCGCCUCUCUUCAGCUCAAGUACUUGGCGUCUGCUUUAUCUGGCAGCCAGCCCCUUUCUUUGACAUGGGACGUUACAGGCAGGGGACCAGGCAACGACAAGGCGGGCAGCAAGCAACAGGCAGCAAGCAAAACCGCGCCCCUUAGACCACAGGAGGAGAAAGGACCCGCAAUGCAACCACACCAAACGGGAAGGGGAGCCAGGCACCUGCUNNNNNNNNNNNNNNNNNNNNNNNNNNNNNNNNNNNNNNNNNNNNNNNNNNNNNNNNNNNNNNNNNNNNNNNNNNNNNNNNNNNNNNNNNNNNNNNNNNNNGGCAGCGGCAAUGGACCAGGUAGGCGCAGUAAAGGCAGACCCAUUUUGGUACAGUGUGACACCGUACUCUUUUGCCAGGGUCAUCUGUUUCAGCGUCGUCAGGUGGUGUGACCUAUGGGCUGGGAGAAGGUGGGCCUGUGUGGAGCCAGCUAUGCUUGCCUGGCGCGGCAGAAGGGCUCGGGUUACUAUCCCAAGACGGCCCGAGUCAUUUAGGGCAAGGACCAGGGCCCGCUGGGCCACGCGCGCGUAUUGCGGCAGGAGGGAGCCCAGGCCCAAGCCGUAUUCGUCGGCGGGCAGGAGGGAGGUCCGGGUGGGGAAGCUGCGGGGGAGUCCGUAGCAGCGCUUUGCAUAACCAGCCAGGGUAGUGUCGAGCGUUGUUAUGUCCUGUUUUGUGAAGGGCAUUGCUGCGAAUCCAUAUGCAACUGUGGUGUGCACGCACUGUUGUAUCAUGCGCAGGCGUUGUGCCGGUGUCGCCAGGGAUGUGGCAAUGGCUGUGCCCUUGUCCUUAACAAUCUCGGUGACUCUUGCGACAUGUGCCGACCAGUCCAGCGAGAACGUGAGCUGCACUCCCAGGUACUUGUACGGCUGGGUCGGGGGGAAGUACGGGACAGGGGUCGUGCCAAUCUUAAUUGUGUUGGUCAUGUUGCGGCGCAUGGCGGCAAGGGUAGCUUUUCCUGUGGGCCCGUCAAGGUUGGGGUCCGAGCGAGAUUUGUCGUGCCAGAUGGCGGUGGUGGCACACUUGGUGUGAUUGACACGCAGGCUCGCCCACUCGGCGUAAGAUGCGAUUUUGUCACAUUGAACCUGCAGGUCGUCGAGCGAGUUGGUGAGCGCCGCCAGGUCGUCUGCGUACGCGGCGGCACUGCAAUGGUAUUGCAGGUUUUCGCUGGGGGUCAGGCAGCCGUAGUGGUAGCCCCGUCCACCCGCAUGGAGCCAGCGGACAAGAGGUUCCAUGAACAGAAUAAAGAGCACAGGUGAGAGUGUAUCACCUUGCACGGUGCCUCGCUCUAUAGGAAUGGCGGAUGUGCUUCCGUGUUCGGUGCGGAUGCGGGUGGUCGCAUGUGCAUACAGGUUGCGGACUGCGCGGAUCAGGUCCGUUGGCAGCCCAAGGUCAAACAUUAUUUGUAGUAAUCGGUCCUGGUCGAUUGUGUUAAACGCGGAGCUAUAGUCCACGUAUACCGCAUAGACAUCUUUUCCAAACAGUGCGGCAUCCUCAAGGGCAUGUACCAAAUUUAGGACCUGCCUUUCGGUGUUGCAGUAGGCACGGAAGCCUUCCUGCGCUUCACUGAAUAGCUGGAGGGGGCCAGCCAGUUCGCCAAUGCCCAAGGUAAGCAUGGACGUGUACAGCUUGUAGCAGGUAUUUGCGAGCGCAAUGGGCCGUUUGUUUUUUAUGUCCAGGGCGUCUCCAGGUUUGGGGAGUAGCACGGUCUCCGAUGCGGCCCAGGUUUCAGGUAUUUGUGACUUGACGUACAUGAUUUGCAGGAUACAGUGGAGGUUGCGCUUCAUGCCUGAUGGCAGGAUACGGAGCAGUUCGUUUGGUAUGCCGUCAGGGCCUGUCGCCUUGUUUCUGGAGAGGUGAGAAAUGCACUGCUCAAAAUUUGCCGUGUCUGCCAUGCUGGGGAGCAUGGAGUGUGUGUCAGGGUGCCGGUUGCGGUCCAGUGUGAAUUGAUCUGUUGCGUCGGCUUUCUCAAAUGGGUAGCCGCGUGUGGCGUUGCUGGGUAGUCGGAAGUCCCCAGUGCGGGUGCCGCGUGGUGGGGCGGACAGCUUUCGGAAGUGGGUUUCGAGUAUGGCGAGGAUGCUGGUGGAGUCAGUCGUCACCUCCCCAGUUUCUGGGUUCCGGACCGCUGGGAGACCCCGUUCCAUGUCUUCCUUCUGAAAGAUUCUCUUGUGCCCCUGUGCAGGGCGCGUGGCCAGGGUAUGUUGCAGCGCUGUGGCAGCGGCCUCUCGCUGGGCUUUGGCGCGGUCCGCCACUAGCUGGCGGUGCUCGGCCUGGCAGGCCUUUAUUUCGUUCCGCAGCUUUGCUGCCGCAUUGGCGGCGUCAACCUCAGGUAGGGCCUGGGGCCCUUGCGUGAGGUUUGUCAGUUGUGUCUUCAGGGCCACUUCCUUGUCCCAUAGGGGCUUUAGCACCCGUGCGGUGGAGCGUGAUGCGUGGUGUUUGCCAGUGAAGGGGGCUUUCCGGGUGCACUCUUCAAGGAGGCAUGUUAGCCCGGUGUCCAGUGCGGAGGCAAGUUGUUCUGCAAGUUGGUUGAUAUCGGCCUUCUGGAUGCUCGUGUCCUGCGCCAGGUCUCGGUGCAUGACGCUGGCGGGGUAGCCUGUGGGGUCCGUGCUGUGCCUUGUGAGUGCAUGUUCAAUUGAUUGCGUUGCCUGCCUUGUUGCGGAAUGCAGGUCGGCUGUUGCUUCCACCAAGGCUUCCUCCACUCGGGGAAAGCCGCUCAUCCGAAUCUGGUCCGAAGUUGGUCCGAAGAUCUGUCCGAAACCUGAUCCGAAGCCUGGUCCGAAAGACCAUCCGAAGCUGGUCCGAGUUCCUGUCCGAAAGACCCCACCCCUGUCCGAAGUUUUUGUCUCCGAAGCUGGUCCGAAGUCGGUCCGAAUCUGGUCCGAAUAGCAUCCGAAUUACAAGUAUUUCGGACACUUUUGUCGGAUGCCAAGAUUCGGACGCAAUGUUCGGACCAGACCGGCCAUCCGAAUGGCAAUUCGGACGCGCCCAGCCCCAUUUCGGACACGCCCAGCUGUUGAUUCGGACGCACCCAGCCCCAUUUCGGACAUGCCCAGGCGUCAAUUUGGACACGCCCAACACCAUUUCGGACGCCGCCACCACCCGCUGCUGCCCAGUGCCCCGCCUGCUGCGCUUUUGUGGUGUCUACAGACACCGUUGCAUGUCCUGUCAUGCCCUUGUCAUGUAGCAGCGGCUCCCCUGCCCUUGUUCAACCCUGUACACAUACCCUUUUUGCUUGCUCCUGGGUCCCUUUGGCUACCUCGUCGCGCUCCUCGGCCCUACACAUGCGCCUCCAUGUUUGCGCACAUAUCACCUGCAUACACAGCACCACCGGCGUUGCAAGAGGCAUGGUGACAAGCCUUUCCCCGAGAUACAUGCUGUAUCUCACAUGCUGUAUACAUGCCCUGUCCGUUGAGCUGCCCACUGCACACAUGUCUUGGUGCUCCUUUUCAUGUGGAUUGCAUCACGAAAUCUGACUUACCACCAAAACGCAAAAGCGCCAUUGCCAGCAGCACAUGCACCGAUGCCGAGACGAAGGUUGACAUGAGAAUAGGGCGGCCGGGGAAUUGCAAGCAGAUAUUUGCAUGCAUAAGCAAUUGCAAACUAUUAGGACCCCGUGCGAAAGCGCAGGCAGGGCAGACGAAUGGUUGUUGACCGCGACAGGAAAACACUGCUGUAGACGUUUUGAGCUGAUACAAUGCGAGUUCUCAGUCAAAAACUUACAUUCUUGGGCCGUGAGCCUGUUUGGCCUUGAAUUUCGUGCAGGUCGGCGAAGGUCAGCGACAAAUCCUCCACUUUGACCAAGUUUGUAGCACCUCCGCCAACCCCUCAGGCAUGCUCGCAAGCUUGUGUCUAACAUAGUUGCUAUGAAUAGCAUCGUGCAGUAUCAUAGAGGGUUUGAGAACGUGGAACACUGCAUGCCGAUAUCGCUUGCAACAGAGAUAGGCUGUAACAGGCUAGCGAUACAUUUAACAACUUGUUAGUAUUAAAUCUGUAGUGUAUAGUAUGAGUCUUAUAAGAGAGUCAUACUAUUAAGUUGAGAAGCUGAAUGUCGGGUCUCCCCAUGCAGCAGCGCUGCCCCAUUGCGCAUGCCAGCUCGCCUCCCUUCUGGUAAUGCCAUUGCUAGGACGCUUAAUCCAAUGUAUGCGGCUGCGUCGGAUGCGGGCAUGGGAUGCAUGUGCCUGCCGCGCAGAUGGGGCCACACAAGCAGGCCACGCCCAGAAACACACUUCCCCACAGCAUACGCACACAGGACACGCCCCGCUGGGCUGCCAGCUUGAAGACACGCACAGUUGGCCAUCGUGCUGUGUUAGGCCAAGCGAUGGGCGUUGGUUGCGUCGGAUGCGGGCAUGGAUGGGAUGCAUGUGCCUGCCGCUCAGGUGGGGCCACACAAGCAGGCCACGCCCGGAAACACAGUUUCCCACAGCGCACACACACAGAACACGCCCCGCUGGGCUGCCAGCUUGAAGACACGCACAGUUGGCCAUUGCGCUGUGUUGAGUCAAGCAUUGGGCGCUGGUUAUGUCCGAUGCGGGCAUGGGAUGCAUGUGCCUGCCGCGCAGAUGGGGCCACACAAGCAGGCCACGCCCAGAAACACACUUCCCCACAGCAUACGCACACAGGACACGCCCCGCUGGGCUGCCAGCUUGAAGACACGCACAGUUGGCCAUCGUGCUGUGUUAGGCCAAGCGAUGGGCGCUGGUUGCGUCGGAUGCGGGCAUGGAUGGGAUGCAUGUGCCUGCCGCUCAGGUGGGGCCACACAAGCAGGCCACGCCCAGAAACACUCUUCCCCACAGCAUACGCACACAGAACACACCCCGUUGGGCUGCCCGCGUGGAGACACACGCAGUUGGGCAUUGUGCUGUGUUGGGCCAAGUGACAAACAACAAGCACCCCGCCCACGCCCACAGCAUUGCCCUUGCUCACACCCUUGCACUUGCCCCUGCCCCUGUACACGCAAACGCGCACGCAUGCACGCAAGCACGCACGCACACACGCACACAGGUGCACACCCACGCGCACGCACACGCACACACGCCCGCACAAGCGUGCACACACACCCACAAAUGCACAAGCUCAUGCUCAUGUACGCACAUACGCGUGCGCGUCAAUACACACGCACCUCGUGUACACACGAGCACACGCAUACACAAGCCCACAUAUGCACACACACACACAUACUGUCCUACGCGUAAUGUUUUCCUUGUGCUCUUUAACACACACACACACACACAUGCGCACACACACACACACACACACACACACACACACACACACACACACACACACACACACACACACACGCCUUUGGCAGAAGGUACGCUGGGAAUGGUGACACUUUGAGACGCUGUGGCGGUUGGCCAUUGACGCAGUGCCGCUGCCGGGAAACUCGCAUACGCCGUUGGCUCGCCGUGAGCCAUGCGGCUGUGGGCAGCACGGCCAUGGGGGCGCCGCGGCGGAGGCACACGCCGCCGCCGCGCCCACGCCACGGCAGCACCACUUCUGGGAUUGCGCGGUGGCGAAGGCCGUUGUGGCGCAGAUUAACGCACACAACCCCGGUCCGGCUCCCAUCAGCCAAGCCCAGCUGUGGCUGGUCCAGGCGCCGCCGGGUUUUCAGCAGUGUGUUUGGGACAUGGUGGUGAUGGACACGCCUGCGAGUGGAUUGCCUCUUUAAUGUCUACUAUCAAUAGCUACUCGGCAUUAGGUGAGGUGUGAGCAUCAGGGGAUAAAGAAUUCGAGGUGUACGCGACGAACGGAAAACCCACCGGGGUCGAUGGGUUUUUUUCGUUUCGCACACAAGCCGUAUUCCUCAAUUCUUAUUGUCUGUACCACUUUAUAGAGCCAAACUGUAUUCGUUUGUCAUCAACAAUGCAUCCAACACCAGCCGCAGACUGUGCGAGGAGGGAUUGAUUUCGAACUUAGCUGGCAGACCUCACUAGAAUGACUGUCUUCUCCCGGUUCGGUUGCCUUGGGAACCCCACUCAAAUGCUACAUGAGCUUGGUCGGGCAGUGGAGCGUGCGCGGCAUUGGAAGUCCACUUUCAAGCGGCAAUUCUUCCUCGCGGCAGUUUCGCUGGGGAAGUGUGAGCCCGGCAGCCAGCUGGUGGUCUACAAGGAUGGCGUGGAGUACACCACACUCGGGGAAAGCCGCUCAUCCGAAUCUGGUCCGAAGUUGGUCCGAAGAUCUGUCCAAAACCUGAUCCGAAGCCUGGUCCGAAAGACCAUCCGAAGCUGGUCCGAGUUCCUGUCCGAAAGACCCCACCCCUGUCCGAAGUUUUUGUCUCCGAAGCUGGUCCGAAGUCGGUCCGAAUCUGGUCCGAAUAGCAUCCGAAUUACAAGUAUUUCGGACACUUUUGUCGGAUGCCAAGAUUCGGACGCAAUGUUCGGACCAGACCGGCCAUCCGAAUGGCAAUUCGGACGCGCCCAGCCCCAUUUCGGACACGCCCAGCUGUUGAUUCAGACGCGCCCAGCCCCAUUUUGGACACGCCCAGCUGUUGAUUCGGACGCACCCAGCCCCAUUUCGGACAUGCCCAAGCGUCAAUUUGGACACGCCCAACACCAUUUUGGACGCCACCACCACCCGCUGCUGCCCAGUGCCCCGCCUGCUGCGCUUUUGUGGUGUCUACAGACACCGUUGCAUGUCCUGUCAUGCCCUUGUCAUGUAGCAGCGGCUCCCCUGCCCUUGUUCAACCCUGUACACAUACCCUUUUUGCUUGCUCCUGGGUCCCUUUGGCUACCUCGUUGCGCUCCUCGGCCCCACACAUGCGCCUCCAUGUUUGCGCACAUCCCUAUGGCACCCAAAUGGUGGUAAGGAUCCAAAAACGGGGGUGACGAUCCCCGGACAGGGGGUAACGAUUGUUUCGGGCCCGCACGGCCUGGCACGCCCAGGACGCAAGCCAAGUGGUGCUGUGGUCACAUCUUAGCUACUUGUCAUGCAUACGCACAUUGCAGACUGGGCGGAGUGCCUUGCGUCUCCGACAAGUGAACAUGCCGACAUUCUAGUCUGCAAAGUGCGUAUUGUAGUGACAGUUUGUGUUAAAACAGUCUAUAAUGUGAAGCCUUAAACUUAUGUAGUCUUUGCGCUCGUGAACGAGGAAGUCUGGGGGCUGUAGGCCGACUGUGUGACAUUGUGACAGGGACCCUUGGGCGUGGUAACGACCCUAAGCCAGGGGUAACGGGGUUCCUGCAUGGGGUUCUCGCGGGCCUGACUUAACAAGCAGCAUAGAGCGGCCCCUGAUACUAAUACACAUAUACUGAUAUAGUACCAUACAUAUACUGAUACACUGCACUUCAUGCCGGUGCCGCUGCACUUCUGUUCCUCUCCCCCACUUUGCUCUCUCGCGCUUGCUACUUCUCUUUGUAACACAAAUUUAUGCUAGCUCAAAUGUCAGUAGAACAAGAGCUGGCGGCAGACGCUGCUUGGCUGGCUUGGGACGCGAGUCCUCACGCUGCUGACUGCUCGUUGACCGGCUUGGCAACGCUGCUCACACGUCAGCUGCAGCCAGCUAUUACUUGAGAGAAACGACUAUGCCUCAUAAUCUAUCAGCUGCGCUUCAAAUGUCCGACCGAGAAGUCUCGGCGGUCGCCGGCGUCAACAACGCCAUUCAACAUCGUGUUCUGUCAACAUCACCCUCGCCCCGCACGCCAGAGUCCGCAGGUUAGUCUGCAGGUUAGUCCGCAGGUUGAAUGACGAUGGGAUGCGUUGAACCUAGUGGUACCUCGCAAGCCAGUGUGCAUGGUUCAUCUUCUCGCGCUGUGUUGGGUUGUUUGGUGGAGCCCCCGCCUACAACUAGUGACUGUCUGCUGCCUCCCUUACCAGCGCUCGCUGUAAGGUGUUUUUAUGGCUCCCUUGCCACGGUGCCUUGUGUCUCACAUACCACCCCGCCCCCCUCCGCACGCACACACCCUGCCCCGCGACAGCUUGCUGCCCAACCCCUGUUGUACCCUAUGGACCGUAUGGUUGGCUGGACUGCCCCUACACCUCCAGCAUUGUGCUCAUCAACGGUGAGUGUCCGUGACACGUGUGGGCGCGCACACAUGCACAUGUGCACACAGACACGCCUUGUGUGGUAGGCCCCGUGCACUGCCAAGCACUCUGUCCAUGGCUGGCCUUGACAUGCAUUGGCACCUACCCGUCUUGUGGCAGACGAUUAACUGGGUGUGUCUAUGUGUGUGCACGCAUGCAUGCAGUCGCUGCCGGUGGAAGCAAAACUACAGGAGCCAGCGUGACACCAGCUGUCUGGCGCUAGAGAUGGAGGCGGGCGCGGCGGCGCCAGUGGCAUAGUUUGGCAUGGUAGCUGUGGUGGCGGCGGGCGUCAAGGUGGUGGGUCAGAGACGUUGUGCCCAGCAGACAUGCAAGUGGUUGCUGCCAGUGGCUAGUUGCACGUUCACAUGCAGACAUGACUAGGCGUAUUGUUGCAUGUACAUAUGGACUUGCGGUAGUGUUGCAUAAGUGUUGCAUGAGCAUCUGCACUUGUCGUGCUAUCAAGCCUUGACAGAUGGCUAGCAUGUGGAGUAGCGGUAGGACUACAUAGUUCUUACGUUAGUACUGAGGUAGGCCUUCAGCAAAGCACAAGGCUGCCAUGUAACGGGCGUCAAAGUGAUGGUUACUGGUGUGCCUUGUAGACCGUGACAAGGCUGUUACCAUGGCUGGUUAAGAUGGUAAGCAGAUCGUAGUGAGAUCGUAACGAUGCCGGAGGGGUAACGAUCUACGACCUAGGUAACAGCGAUCGUAACGAUCGUUUGGGUGCCAUAGGGCAUAUCACCUGCAUACACAGCACCACCGGCGUUGCAAGAGGCAUGGUGACAAGCCUUUCCCCGAGAUACAUGCUGUAUCUCACAUGCUGUAUACAUGCCCUGUCCGUUGAGCUGCCCACUGCACACAUGUCUUGGUGCUCCUUUUCAUGUGGAUUGCAUCACGAAAUCUGACUUACCACCAAAAUGCAAAAGCGCCAUUGCCAGCAGCACAUGCACCGAUGAGACGAAGGUUGACAUGAGAAUAAGGCGGCCGGGGAAUUGCAAGCAGAUAUUUGCAUGCAUAAGCAAUUGCAAACUAUUAGGACCCCGUGCGAAAGCGCAGGCAGGGCAGACGAAUGGUUGUUGACCGCGACAGGAAAACACUGCUGUAGACGUUUUGAGCUGAUACAAUGCGAGUUCUCAGUCAGAAACUUACAUUCUUGGGCCUUGAGCCUGUUUGGCCUUGAAUUUUGUGCAGGUCGGCGAAGGUCAGCGACAAAGGCCUCCACUUUGACCAAGUUUGUAGCACCUCCGCCAACCCCUCAGGCAUGCUCGCAAGCUUGUGUCUAACAUAGUUGCUAUGAAAUAGCAUCGUGCAGUAUCAUAGAGGGUUUGAGAACGUGGAACACUGCAUGCCGAUAUCGCUUGCAACAGAGAUAGGCUGUAACAGGCUAGCGAUACAUUUAACAACUUGUUAGUAUUAAAUCUGUAGUGUAUAGUAUGAGUCUUAUAAGAGAUCAUACUAUUAAGUUGAGAAGCUGAAUGUCGGGUCUCCCCAUGCAGCAGCGCUGCCCCAUUGCGCAUGCCAGCUCGCCUCCCUUCUGGUAAUGCCAUUGCUAGGACGCUUAAUCCAAUGUAUGCGGCUGCGUCGGAUGCGGGCAUGGGAUGCAUGUGCCUGCCGCUCAGAUGGGGCCACACAAGCAGGCCACGCCCGGAAACAAGGUUUCCCACAGUGCAUGCACACAGAACACACCCCGUUGGGCUGCCCGCGUGGAGACACACGCAGUUGGGCAUUGCGCUGUGUUGGGCCAAGCGAUGGGCGCUGGUUGCGUCGGAUGCGGGCAUGGGAUGCAUGUGCCUGCCGCGCAGAUGGGGCCACACAAGCAGGCCACGCCCGGAAACACAGUUUCCCACAGUGCACGCACACAGAAGACACCCCGUUGGGCUGCCCGCGUGGAGACACACGCAGUUGGGCAUUGCGCUGUGUUGGGCCAAGUGACAAACAACAAGCACACGCCCACGCCCACAGCCUUGCCCUUGCUCACACCCUUGCACUUGCCCCUGCCCCUGUACACGCAAACGCGCACGCAUGCACGCAAGCACGCAUGCACGCACGCACACAGGUGCACACCCACGCGCACGCACACGCACACGCGCCCGCACAAGCGUGCACACACACCCACAAAUGCACAAGCUCAUGCUCACGUACGCACAUACGCGCACCUCGUGUACACACGAGCACACGCAUACACAAGCCCACAUAUGCACACACACACACUGUCCUACACGUAAUGUUUUCCUUGUGCUCUUUAACACACACACACACACACACACACACACACAUGCGCACACACACACACACACACACACACACACACACACACACACACACACACACACACACACACACACACACACACACACACACACACACACACACACACACACGCCUUUGGCAGAAGGUACGCUGGGAACGGUGACACUUUGAGACGCUGUGGCGGUUGGCCAUUGACGCAGUGCCGCUGCCGGGAAACUCGCAUACGCCGUUGGCUCGCCGUGAGCCAUGCGGCUGUGGGCAGCACGGCCAUGGGGGCGCCGCGGCGGAGGCACACGCCGCCGCCGCGCCCACGCCAUGGCAGCACCACUUCUGGGAUUGCGCGGUGGCGAAGGCCGUUGUGGCGCAGAUCAACGCACGCAACCCCGGUCCGGCUCCCAUCAGCCAAGCCCAGCUGUGGCUGGUCCAGGCGCCGCCGGGUUUUCAGCAGUGUGUUUGGGACGUGGUGGUGAUGGACACGGCUGGGAGUGGAAUGCGUCUUUAAUGUCUACUAUCAAUAGCUACUCGGCAUUAGGUGAGGUGUGAGCAUCAGGGGAUAAAGAAUUCGAGGUGUACGCGACGAACGGAAAACCCACCGGGGUCGAUGGGUUUUUUUUCGUUUCGCACACAAGCCGUAUUCCUCAAUUCUUAUUGUCUGUACCACUUUAUAGAGCCAAACUGUAUUCGUUUGUCAUCAACAAUGCAUCCAACACCAGCCGCAGACUGUGCGAGGAGGGAUUGAUUUCGAACUUAGCUGGCAGACCUCACUAGAAUGACUGUCUUCUCCCGGUUCGGUUGCCUUGGGAACCCCACUCAAAUGCUACAUGAGCUUGGUCGGGCAGUGGAGCGUGCGCGGCAUUGGAAGUCCACUUUCAAGCGGCAAUUCUUCCUCGCGGCAGUUUCGCUGGGGAAGUGUGAGCCCGGCAGCCAGCUGGUGGUCUACAAGGAUGGCGUGGAGUACAUCGGCACCCUGCCCGCAACAGCAAAGCCGUUCCUGCUCUUCGGCACGACGUUUGUCCCCAGCAGGCCGCGGGGGGCGCCAGCGCCCGAGGUGGGCAGCAGAGGACACUGUGACCAGUCCAGCUGCAGACACUUAGGCACCCCCUUAAAUGUACUGCUGUUUACGCAGAACCCCCCCGUGCCAGUGACCUUGAUGGAGCUCACGGGGUCCAAGUCAAAGCCCGAGCGGGCAUGCGACUACGUGCGGGAGGGCGGCGCCCUGCUGGUGCAGGAAAUCAUGGCGGGGCAAGAGGGGUGGCUGCAGGCAGACCUGAGCGGCAAGGCAAGAAUGCUGCUGGAGAUUGCCGCACUGGAGGGCGCUCCCACACCGGGCACCCUCGCAGCAAACAACCCCACGUACAACUACGCGGUCCGCGCUUUUGAGGAUGCCGCACAGGUGCGAAAGGCUUCCCGGUGAUUACAGGUGCUGCCCAACUACGGCCAUGUUGUACUGCUCCUGACCCACGUCCUCCGAUAGAUUAUGAUGGCCACUCACACACUUAACCAUGCAGGAGCUGACCAACAAGGCCGUGGCGCAGCAGCUGGCAGAGGAGCGGGCACAGGCACAGCAGCUGGCAGAGGCGCAGGCGCAGGUGCAGCAGCUGGCAGAGGCGCGGGCGCAGGCGCAGCAGCUGGCAGAGGCGCAGGCGCAGGUGCAGCAGCUGGCAGAGGCGCAGGCGCAGGCGCAGCAGCUGGCAGAGGCGCAGGCGCAGGCGCCGGUGGUACAGGGGUGGUCACCCGAAGACCAACAGCCUGGCGGCUCGGCUGGGCCCGCGGAGUACGUGCCGGCUACAGAGCUCACUGAGGCGGGCAGUGAUGCCGGCACCGACACGACACAGGACACAAAGCAGCUCGGCGCCGCCAGUACCCGCACCAGCGAGCCGCCUGCACGUCGCGUACCUGCUUCUUUGACCCAGCAGCGUAUGGCUGGGGAGGUCAGCAACAGUGGCGCAAGUGGUGAACCACCGAGAUUUACCGUUGCAAGGUCAAGGAGGUGCCACCUGCCCUGCAGUGCGGCCUGGGCCUUGCCGCCGUGCGUCUGCCGGCAACGCUUACAAGGCUGAUCAACCCUCGCCUGAUCGCGGAGCUGGCGUCGCUGGCGGACAAACGCGGAGAGCAGAUCUUCCAGCGCAUCUCAGCACUGCAGGGCGUGCAGGCGGAGAUCCGGAUGAGCGUGGGGACGGGCCAGCGGGUUCAGGUGCUGUGGAAGGACCUCGCGGGCAGCGCUGGGCUCCUGGUGCUCUGCGACAAACUGCGACCGUUGCUGGAGGAGGUCGUGACAGCGGCAGACCCGAAGGGUGAGCUGGGGCUGCACCUGGAGGACGCCGUGCUGCUGGCGAACCUGCCCGGCACUCGUCCGGUUGCCGAGCAGGUGCCCCACUACGACAUGGCGCCAGGGGAGCCCGGGUGGUUCAUCAUGCUCGCCCUCCAGCCGGCAAGCCUGCUGGUGGCGCAGGCCAGUCAGCACGAGGUCCUGCUGUGGGGCCGCGCGUACACCGCAGCACAGGAGGCGGGCCGGACUGCAGCUGUGCUGAAGGACCUCUGCGCCAGCACCCCCCACCGGCGGCUGGUGCGCCUGCAGCUGCCGGUGGGCGAGUUGCUGUUCGUGCACUCCAACCUCGUGCAUGCAGGCGACGCCGGGCGACUGGAUGGCAGCUACUCCCUGCGGCUGCACUGGUUCGUGAAGAGUGCGAAAACAACGAACAACACCCACCUGCCGCGCCAGAUCCACGUGGAGCUCGAGAAGCGCUUUGUGUGAUGGCUCAGACACACUCAGGAUGAAGGGGCGGGGCGGGGCGGGGCGGGGCGGGGCGGGGCGGGGCGGGGCGGGGCGGGGCGGGGCGGGGCGGGGCGGGGCGGGGCGGGGCGGGGCGGGGCGGGGCGGGGCGGGGCGGGGCGGGGCGGGGCCGGGUGGCGGGGCGGCCACAUUGGGAAGGUGAAUAUGCUUGUCAAUUAGGUUGUGUGGGAAAUAGAACAGGUUCAUCAGUGUGGCGGCAAGACAAACCAAGUUGACACGCGCUGUCACUCGUCUGGGUUCUGUCUGUGUUGCACCCUAGCAUUCUUACGGCUUCGUCGUCAGGGUAAAAGCUUGUCCCCUUGACAUAUGAACAGUUUGUGUGGCGAGGUUGUCAUGACCAGGGACUGGAGCGAGAUUAGAGAUGGGCCAGGGCGGGCCCCCUGACACCUCAGCACUGUUUAGUCCAGAAGUUCCCGGUUCUAAUUAAGCCUACUUUUUGGUGGUAGUUGCGACAUCAUUAUCUGACACCGUGCGGAAGUGAAGGUGGGGGUGGGUGGGGGCAGCAGUUGUUUGUUUGCUGCAAUCGCACGUCCAUGGACGCAACUCUAAACUGCUGGUUCUACGGACUGAAACGUUUCAGUCCGUAGAACCAGUACUGUGUGAGAAUCAAGAAGCCACUAGCAAAGCUUAAAGUUACAGGAAUUACUAUGUUGGCGGGCGGCCCUCCUUUGGGCCGGCCAUCCGAAUCAAUCGGCCUGUCCGAAAUGGGCCGCCCAGGCCUCUGGGCUGGGCGCCCAGACUGCCCCUCCCAUCCGAACCUCCCGGUCUGAACUUUUCGGACCGGCUUCGGACCAGCUUCGGACCAGGUUCGGACGUCAAACCCCGGUUUCGGACGCCUUGGUUUUCCCCGAGUGAUAUGGCCACAAGCAAAGCGUCGUUGCAUGCACAAACCAUCUCAUCCCAGCCAGCCGCCGAAUGCAUGCGUGCAUCCCUGCUGCCAGCCUACCGUGGAUCAACUGCCUGCUAUCUAUCUAGUUGCGUGAGUCCGCCUACGACCGUACUGAUCCCCAUAAUGUACCACCACGCCUGCCCUGGCGACCUGGCUUGUCGCAGCUUGUCCCAGGCCUGAUUGGUGGUGCACGGGCAGCUCCAGGGCCAUUCUCCUGGAGGAUGUGGACUGUGAUGGAGACGACCUGCUGGACUCGGUGUGUUACGACCUGGCGGGCAAUCCAGGCAUCAUCGGCUCAGGGAUUGACUGCACGGACACCUGGCCCUCCGUGGCAGCCUCCUAUUGCCCGCCUGUUUUCAACGGUACGAACGCUAGCUAUGACGGGCACGCGCACGGGCAUAUGGCAAUGCAUAUAGAUGCACGUACGACCACCUGCACGCAAAUCCUAUACUGCCUAUAAUCAGAAUCUUUGCGCCUGAUAUGAGUGAUGCUUGCUCCUUUCCUGACCCGGCCUGCCCUUCCCCACCGCUUCUCAAUUAGGGCAGGGCACCAUCAGAUGGGCCACACAUUGCCACCUGCCAUACCUGCAUCAGCACCCCAACUCCUAGUCCCAGCCUGAUUAUACAAUGCACCAUGUGCCAACACUCCAUACAAACGCUGGAAACACAAACAGCCAACUGCCCCACAGCCACCUGGACCCACAUAUCCCUCCCCCCCCCCCGCCUCCUUAGGGGCACCAUCAGAUGGGCCACACAUUGCCACCUGCCAUACCUGCAUCAGCACCCCAACUCCUAGUCCCAGCCUGAUUAUACAAUGCACCAUGUGUCAGCACUCCAUACAAAUGCUGGAAACACAAACAGCCUACUGCCCCACAGCCACCUGGACCCACAUAUCCCUCCCCCCCCCGCCUCCUUUGGGGCACCAUCAGAUGGGCCAUGCAUUGCCACCUGCCAUACCUGCAUCAGCACCCCAACUCCUAGUCCCAGCCUGAUUAUACAAUGCACCAUGUGCCAACACUCCAUACAAAUGCUGGAAACACAAACAGCCAACUGCCCCACAGCCACGUGGACCCACAUAUCCCUCCCCCCCCCCCCUGCCUCCUUAGGGGCACCCACAGGUGGAUGGGCCACGCAUUGCCAUCUGCCAUACCUGCAUCAGCACCCCAACUCCUAGUCCCAGCCUGAUUAUUCAAUGCACCAUGUGCCAACACUCCAUACAAAUGCUGGAAACACAAACAGCCAACUGCCCCACAGCCACGUGGACCCACAUAUCCCUCUCCCCCCCCCCGCCUCCUUAGGGGCACCAUCAGAUGGGCCACACAUUGCCACCUGCCAUACCUGCAUUGGCACCCCAACUCCUAGUCCCAGCCUGAUUAUACAAUGCACCAUGUGCCAACACUCCAUACAAAUGCUGGAAACACAAACAGCCAACUGCCCCACAGCCACCUGGACCCACAUAUCCCUCCCCCCCCGCCUCCUUAGGGGCACCCACAGGUGGGCCACACAUUGCCACCUGCCAUACCUGCAUCGGCACCCCAACUCCUAGUCCCAGCCUGAUUAUUCAAUGCACCAUGUGCCAACACUCCAUACAAACGCUGGAAACACAAACAGCCUACUGCCCCACAGCCACCUGGUGUCACGCCAGGGCGUGGGACCGGACAUGGCGUGGGACCGUGCCGGGAAAGCUGUGAAACCCGGGGUCAGAACCAGUGCGGCUGUCGAGUUGUGAGUCAGCACGUUACUAAGCAGGCACAACUCCCGUGUGCCGAUUACCGUAGCAAUGCUCUGUUUGGCCCUAACUGCCCGUAAGAGCUUGUGUGUUUGAGUGAGCUGGGUUUGUGCUGCUAGGUUAUGCGGAGUGAGGAAGUUGCGUUAUCCGCCAGUCUGACGCGCGGAGGCGGGCGGAAUGAGGCGGAGACAGGUUUAUCCGCCCCGGUAGCUCAAGACAAGUCGUCUUGUCUUGAACUAUCUGGUACUACUUGCUGGUUAGUGAUUUCAGAGACAACGACCAUUCUACAAUACUCGUGGAUAGCACGAAGUGCACAGACAGAGCCGCCUCUGUAACUUUGAGGAGACAAGAACCGAGCACCCUUGAUACGCACAGUAGUCUACGCGCUUAAGAGAGCAGUAAGCCACGUAGCACUCAGUUCAAGACAAGACCGCGAGGCGCCGCGCGCCCGCAUCCUGCUCUCAUUUUGGUUUCUUGGCGGUCACACCGCGCGCAAGCACAAGUAAGCAUUCGGGUACUCUACCUGGAGAUUACCAAGCCAUUAGCCGGGGCCUCUCAGGCUCCGCGCUAGCGUUCAAGGAUUAGCUUCACCGGCCCGACGGGGUUGCGCUACAGCAAGCUACUUCCAGCCUCCCAGACGUCAUUGCACACCGGUUCUAUUGCUUAGGUGUUGCGAGACAUUCUUCAGUUCUGCUUGGGUGACGAGAGUUGCGGGCGAAUUGCUGCACGUUACGGAGCAAGCAUCGUGAUAGGCCAUCACGCCUGUUUGUUUCAGAGCUGCUGCAUAUUAACCAGCUUCCUACGCCACACCUUUUGACUUUCUUCGCAGUGGGCAGAGAGGACCGAGAAGCUGCUCCAGCUACGUCGUCUCACGACCGUCCCUCUGGCUCACGAACCGUCUCACGGGAACGCGUCACUUGGGACCCUCCCAAGCAUCUGCAGCAGGCACGAGGCCGCACCCUUGAACAGGAGCUCCGCGAGCGCAGCCGUGGCCGCAGUGACUCCGAGCGCAGGCGCAGCCGCAGCCCCAACCACAUCAAGAGCAGGCGCAGUCGCAGCCGCAGCCGCAGCCCUAACCCCGGCGCCGCGCGCCCAGGCGCCGCUGCAGCACCCGCACGCUCGCUGACCUCCAGCGAGCGCGCCGCCGUGCUUGCUCUGCUGGUCUCAACAGCUGCUCCCCAGCAGCCGCACCUUGUCGCAUCAGACCCCGACGCGAGGGUGCUUGACACCGACCCGUCCUUCCGGCCACUCCUGCAGCCGGCGGACGGCGAGAAGUGCCUGCGCCUCUGCAUCACGCUCUUGGACGGCGCUCCGCCCCUUGAGCUUGUGGAAGGCUGCCUCAUUCACGGUUGGCAGUCCAAGCACACCACAUCACAGUGCGACGUGCUCCGGCGCGCACGUGCUGCCUACCUAGAGUACGCAGCGUCGCGCCCCGCGGCGGCACCCCGGCGUUAGUCAGCUACAGCGUGCAGCCCGUGUGCAGCGGCUCAGCAGCCUACUGCCACGUCGUCUGCGCGCUACCUGCGGGCUCCGAGACCUCCCAGGUCCCCACACCCGAGCCAGUGCUACGUCUACGAGGCUACCGUACUACUAAGUGACUCUGAGUCACCGGCUUCCAGCAUUCCAAGAGUCCGAGACAUCACGAGCCUCUCAGGCUGGCGCAACGGGAGCUGCACAACCUUCUCCGUCUUCUGCCGCCGGUGCAUCCUGAGCCAAGACCUGACGAAGCAGCCGACCGGCCCGUAGGGGGCACGCGGUCGGGCACGCAGUAUUCAGGGAGUCGCCAGCCUUCACCAGCCAAGCAGUCGGCGGGCUCCAGGCAGCGCAGUCUUUCCGUUCCACGCCAGUCUCCGGCCAAGGCGACAGCUUCUGCGGAUCGCCAAGCCGGUAACAACAGCGGUGCAGGGCCCUCGGCCCCGCGCAUUAGACCAACAGUAGACAACAGCAGCGGCAGCCAGCGCGCCGGUUCACGCACCGACAGCCGGCACACUCAGUCUACCGGCCAGGCGCCUCCACCGCCUGUCGCCGCGCCGCUCUUACUUCAGGCAGCGCCCCCGCUCCCCGCGGCCGCGCCACCUCCGCCACCUGCACCCCUCGCGUUGCAGGUGCCACCGCAGGCACUCCCAGUGCCGCAGUUGGCUGUGCACACCUUCUCCGACUCAGACGACGAACGGAGCAUGAGCAAGCAGUUCAAACCCAUGGAUCCCUGGGAUCACCAUCAGGUGCCUCCGCUCGGCAAGCAGCUCAGAGAGGACCUGAACAGCGCGCGCAAGUACCACGGCAACUGCGCGUAUGAUGCGGUUCCGGCUGACGAGGCGCUGCGCCUCAUCGACGCCGGCCCCGACGUCAACACCCCGUACCACUUCUGGUGGUCCAAGGAGCGUCCCACGCUCCAGGCGCGCGCGCUUGCCCACCACCUUGCGGCCAACCCCGCGCCAGGCGGCCAGCAACCGCCGCCCCUGUGCGGCCACCACGUGCUGGACUUCUACAUCCAGCUCCUGCACGACCAUUUCGCCCUGGACCGCGCUAGCUACUACGAGGACCGCUACAACAGGCUGCAGCAGGAGGAUGAGCAGACGCCGUCUUCGCUGCUGGCUGAGAUGCGGCAGUGCGAGCCGCACCUGCACGCCAUGCCGCAGGACAAGUUCGCGAUGGACUUCCUGCGCAAGCUGCACCCUCGCAUUGUGACCAACGUCAGGAACCGCUGGGACAUCAUCCCCGUCACCAGCUGGUACGGCCGCCUCUCCGACAUCGCCAAGGACGCCGACGUGGUUUGGGACAACCACCGGCGCGAGGCUAGCUAUCAGAAGCGCAUCACCGCGGUCUCUGCAGCUGCCAGCGCGCCCUCGGCUAACCCGAGCACCUCGGCGCCAGCCGCGCGCAGCUCCAAGCCCUCGUCCAGCUCCAGCGGCCCCGCCGCGGCACCCAAGGCCUCGUCCAGCUACUACUGCCAGCACCACGGCGCCAACCGCUCGCACAACACGGAGAACUGCAACGUGCUGCAGAGCAAGCGGUCCACUGCGCUGGCCACCAGCUCCGGCCCGCCGCCCUCGCAGCAGCAGGAGCUGGCGCGCAUGUUCAACCAGUUCGCAGCUCAGUUUGGCUUCAACGGCUACUCGGCGGCGGCUACCAGCACUGCUGCUCCCGGUGCGGCGACCAAGUACCAGGCGGAGGCGGACCGGCGCGGCGCCCGCGGCCGCGGCUAUGGCGGCGGCAGCGGUGGUGGCGGCGGCGGUGACGCGGCCGCCCGCGCAGGAGACGUGGAGCGCUGUGACUACUGCCGGCUGUCUCACCCCGGCAUCUGCUACGUCAAGUACCCCCACCGUGCUCCGCAGAACUACCGGCCACGUGCGCAACACCUGCAGGACCUGUUCGCCUACAACCUCAGCAGGGCUCCCCUGCCUGACACCAAGGCCGGCAACGAGCAGGCGGGCGGCACCAAGCAGGCGGCUGGCAACGAGAAGAACGCCGCCGCGGCGGUGACCGGCUACGACGACGGCGAGGACGAGCUGUACUACGGCUACGUGACCGCCCUGGCGGACGAGAGCCCAGCAUCCAGCAGCAGCGCUUCGGCCUCCCAGGCCGCCGGUCGCCGCGGCUACUGGUUCCUCCACGGCGGUGACAACUGCGUUGCGUCCACCUGCAGCCAGCCCUGGGAUGAGCCCGACCUCGCCUGCCUCUCGGUGGCCUGCGCCGAGCUCAGCCCGGACUCCUGCGCAUGCGGCGCCCUCGUCACUGGCCUGUGCGACAAGCUGAUGAUGGAGUGCGAGGCUCCUGAGGGCGGCCCCGGGGGCUCCCAGCCCGCGCACGCCGCCGAGCCGCUGCUCGCGGCGAUGGCCACCCUCAAGCAGCAGCCGGCGCCGGUGGGCUUCCAGCCGGCUCCCGCCGGCACGCCGGCGGAGCCGCCGCAGCAGCUUCUGAGCCCGUCACUGGCGCCGCACAACCAGGUGGUUUCCUCCGCAGUCACGCUGCUGCAGGCCAAGGCUGACCGUCUUCAGAAGGACAUCAGCCAGAUGGUGAGCGAGUUGGCCGGCGAGACCCGCUACCAGCUCAUGAUGGUCGCGGCGGCCUCCCAGGCCGCUGAGCGUGCAAGUGACAAUCCGCCCGCGGCCACGUGCGCCACCUGCACGCGUGAGAUUGGCGUGCCUGUCAACUUCUGGACCGACACGCCCUGCAUGUACACGGUCGCCAACGCCCCCCUGGGCGGCGCGGCCGAGGGCUACAAGCUGUCACCAGACUUCCGCCCCAUCACCAGCGUGCCACCGGACGAGUUCACCCGCCAGCUUGAGGAGAAACCCGCACUGAAGGCCUACUUCGACAGCAACCCGGAGAUGUUCUACUGCAACGUCGGUGAUGUGGCUGUGGGCUUCGCGCGACCGCGCAACCAACCUCUGCACGCCCUGCCCCAGGUGCUGCGUGACCACAGCGCCAGCGUCAACAUCGUGACGUCGUCCUUCGUGCGCCUGCACCGUCUGCCGACUCGACCAACCACUUCCCGUCUGGCUACAGCUUCCAGCAGCUCUGAGCGACAGCAGCUGGAGCUGGUGCACGAGCAGCUGGUGGUGAGCAUCAAGCCUGGUUCGGCCUUCAACGUGCGCAUCCCCAUGACCAAGACCCUGGUCGUAGGAGACACACACCUGUUUGACGUGCUCCUGGGCAACGAGCAGAUGAAGCCGGUCGCCGACUAUGUCACCGUGCUGCCGAAGGCCAUGCUGCACUACUUCCCCAACGUGCUGGAGUUCCCCGACUGCAUCGUCAGCCUGCCACUGCACAGCGCCAACGGCGUGCGGGCGGCCCUGGCCUCCGUCGAGAACUAUGCAGCCUGCUGCACCAGCCUCUGCGACCCCGUCGCGAAGCUGGGGGGGGGAUGCAACUCUCCGACUGCGCUCGGCAACAGCACCAGCAGCAGCGGCACCGUGCCCGGCAUCGCCAGCAGCAGCACCGAUGUGCCCGCACCCUGCCAGGCGCCCAGCGGCACCGCGCCCAGCACCGCCGGCGGCACUGGCGUGAUCAGCGGCAGCGUGAGCGCAGACUGUGCGGCCUACCUUGACCGCCUCCUCGCAGCCCGCCUCGCCGCCGGGACGGAGCUCACACCAGCUGAGACGGAGGCACUGGAGCAGGCACUGAUUGCAGCAACGGGGAAAUCCUCCAGCAUUCACUGCGACCUGAAACCCCACAACUACCUGCUGGAUAAGCCGGUGCUGCCGACGCCCAAGCCCGCGGUGCUCAGCUGGCGCACGCGGGGCAGGCGCCGGGUGCGGUGGUACUGGCGGCAGUCCCUCGACCAGACCAGCACUGACGGCGACUCCCAGGCUACGCAGUCCCACUGCUCCAGCGGCGGCAUCAAGUCCGAGGCCCCACUGCACACCGCCAGCGCCCAGUCCGACGUCCAUCCGCCCACCGGCAUCUCCGACGUCCCUCCGCCCACCGGCAUCUCCGAGCCCAGCACCGUCAUCGGCAACGCUACUGCGGCUGAUGCCGCCCACGCCGCUGGCGGCAGCGCCAAGGCUCCCGCAGUGGGCUGGGCAUCCAAGGCCGCUUCGGCUCUGAGCCAGGCGGCCGUCAAGGGCAUGAGCUACCUGACUCUCCCUGGUCUCCAUGGCCGCCAGCGUCGGCGCCGUGGGAGGCACUUUCAGCGGAGCACCGGGUCUGCAGGCUCUCCAGCACCUGGAGGCCGUGCAGGCGGCGCUCAGCACCGCUCCACCACACCUUCGCGCGCGCUGGGACGCUGCGCACCAACCUCCGUCCUCAGUCAGCAGCGCGGGCCCCCCGGGCCUCUCGCACGUGCUGGCCAGCGUCGAGUCGUUCACCUUUGAUGGCAAGAUGGCGGCUGCCGCCUCCGAGCGCUACGAGAAGGACAAGGACGGCGGCUGGGUGUGGGGCAACGCUGUCGGCAUGACGCCUGAGCACGCCGCGCUACUACGGGCCACGGUGCGCACCCGCAAGUCCUCUGCCUUCGCCUACAGCAUGGAGGAGCUUCCCGGUUACUCUGGUGAGCUUGGCGCCUUCCGUCUGGACCUGACCACCGACAAGCCUGUCAUCCAGUCACCGCGCCGCUACAGCCCCAAGGAGGUCGAGGUCAUCAAGCAGAAGAGUGCUGAGCUUCUCAAGCCCGGCAUCUGUGUUGAGUGGACAGGCCCCACCCAGGUGGCCGUCAACCCUGUCAUCGCCGCCAAGCGGGACGAGGCCACCGGGCUCUGGACAGGAGCACGCAUGGCGCAAGACUACCGCCCAGUCAACAAGGUGACCAAGCCCGACAAGUACGGCCUACACCGCCCAGAAGACAUCUUCCAGAGCGUGGAGAAGGCGCGUUUCUUCAGCAAGCUCGACAUGCGUCAGGGUUUCCUUCAGAUCUCCAUUCACAAGGACGACUACGGCAAGACGGCGUUCUGGUGCGGCAAUCGUCUGCUCGCCUACACCCGCAUGCCCUACGGUCUCAAGAACGCGUCCGCCGCCUUUCAGCGCCGCAUGGACCACGAGCUGCGGCGUGCCGGCCUGGACAAGGUAGCUGUGGCCUUCAUUGACGACGUACUGAUUGCUACCGAGACCGCUGAGGAGCACGUCGAGGCAGUAGCAAGAGUGCUUGACACGCUCGCAGCGUGCGGGCUCCGAGCCCAUCCUGACAAGUCCAUCUUCGGCGCCGACGUUAUCGAGUACCUUGGCCACAACCUCUCCACCUUCGGCAUCUCGCCUCAUCAGGCCAAGGUCGCCGCAAUCUUGGCCCUCCAGCCGCCCAAGAACGUCUCGGAGCUUCGUACGCAGCUGGGCUUCAUCAACUACUACCGCUGCUACAUCCCGAACAUGAGUGAGAUCGCCGCGCCGCUGAAUGAGCUGCUCAAGAACGACGCGCGCUGGCGGUGGGGGCUGGAGCAGGAGGAAGCGCACCGCGCGCUAAAGGAGACCUUCAUGCGGCCCGAUGUCGUGUUGCGCCGCAUUGACUACAGCCGUCAACUCAUUCUCCACACCGACUUCUCCAACAAGGGCAUCGCCGCGGUCCUCGGCCAGCGCGAUGAUGAAGGUCGUGAGUACAUGUGCGCCUGCAUCUCCCGCUCCCUCAACAAGCACGAGGCCAACUACAGCUCCUACAAGGGCGAGAUGCUGGCGGUCGUGUGGGCGGUCAAGAUGCUACGCCAUCACCUUAUCGGCUCCGAUGUUCCCUUCAAGCUGGUGACUGACCAUCAGCCCCUCCUCUACCUCAUGAGCUCCGAGGGCCUCACAGGCCAAUAUGCCCGCUUCGCCCUCGUCCUGCAAGAGUACAACUUUGAGGUCGAGCACCGCCCCGGGAUCAAGCAUCAGAAUGCGGACGGGCUCUCGCGCAACCCUCGGCCCAGCACCGUGGACGGCUCUGGUGCCCGGCUUGACGAAGACGAUGACGACGGGCCGGCGACGCUACCGGCGGUGUCAACAAGUGAGGAGCCGCCAACCGCCGCUGCCGUGGCUGCCAGCCUCUCAGCUUGCGAGGUCGUCCACGUCGCCCUUGCAACCGCCGUCCCGCUGGCGCCCUUCUCUUCUGACUUCAUGCCCAGCACCGAGGAGGCCAUCUCCGGAUGGAACGGCUGGGGCUACGAGGCAGCCGCACCGCCGCCUGACGCUCCCGAUCGUCAGGGCAAGGCUGCCCGAGCAUUGCUGCGCAGCGCAGCACUCGAGUGGCGAGCGGCCAGCAAACUCCGGCGGCAAGGCAGUGGCUCACCCUCGGUGGCCCCCUCACCGUCGCCUGUGGCCGUCAGCGCCUCCGUGUGGUUCGACAACGCCCUCCGCCAAGGCGUCACGUUGUGGGAGCCUACCGGCGGUCUGGGUGGGGCCCUUGAUGCAGUCCUGCUCAACGGCAUUCCAGUCAGGCGCUACCACUACUCAGAUUCUUCACGUGAGGCGCGCUCCGCGCUUCACCACCGCCUCUCAGGCAUCACGGACCUGCGGCCGGAGCUAUUCCCUGCCUCCGCUUGGGACCAGACGCUUCUCUCUCUCCCGCAUGGUGCCUCGCACGUGGCGGAUGCGGACUUGCGGCUGCUGGGACAGGGCGGCGAGCCGAUUCUCAUUGCAGCUCAGUGGGAGUCAGGGGACGUCGUCACACAGGCUAACGUACUCAGCUUGGCGAGCCGCGCUCGUCAGCUGCUGGGCGAGCAGCGCGUAAUGCUGCUCUGCCACGUCUCCUGCACCAACACCAGCACCCCACCACCGGAGCAGCGUGCUGCCGAUGCGGCGGCCAAGGAGGCCUGGGGCCGCCCGCUCGUGUCAGACGCAGCGCGGUUCGGCUCUGGCUUCCAUCAGCUCUACCGCACGUGGACAACGCUAGCUGACCCCGCGGCCCUGCGUGACGUGGCGGAGUCAGCGACGCGCCCCGCCGCCUGUGAUGCGCAGUCCCUCUUGGGCGUCGGCCGGACCGUGCCCACCACUGCCAAGCCGCUGCGUCCUCCCUUCUACCCCUGCGACGUCGAAGGCAAGCCAGUGAAGGCGCUCAUGGCCUCCGCCGCCCGCGCCAACGUCAGCGCCGAGUCAGCCUCAGGCGCCUGCCCCAUCUUCGACGCCGAGUCAGGGCGCUACACACCUCCCACGGCUGAUGAGUGUGAGCGCCUGCUGGGCUUCGACGGACCUGUCACAUCGGCGACCGGACUCAGUGAGCAGCAGCGCAAGGCCCUGAUCGCAUCAGCGGCAAACGUCACGCAGCUGGCCAGCAUCAUCGCCAUCAGUCGCGUGCUGGCGGACGAGGUCAACGCUGGUACCCCCGCCAGUGCGGCAGCCCUGGUCACGUGGCGCACACCCGCCGGCGGCCUCGCCAUUCCUCUCACCCGGACCCCUCUGUCGGCCAAUGACACCAUCAUCGCAGCGCUCGCCUCCGCAGCCCUGGAGCCUGAGGCAGCUGCAGAGGCCGCCUCUCCUACGGACGCCUGGUCGGACGACGCCCUGCUGGACUAUCUUCGCACCGGUGCCGUCAACGCCAGCCUGCCCCAGGCUGAACAGCGACGCCUGCGGCGCCGUGCGGCCCGGUACCGCUGGCAAGGCGACCAGCUUCACAUCGUGGGGCUCGACGGCCGCCUGCGGCAGGUGCCGCGCCCUGCCGAGCGGGGUGAGCUGGUGCGGCGCAUGCAUGAGCAGGCAGGACACUUCGGCGUGCGCAGGACCUGCGCGCUCCUGCUGCAUUCACACUGGUGGCGCGGCAUCACGGACGAUGUGCGCAGCGCUGUCAAGCACUGCGAGGCCUGCGACCGCGUCAAGGCCUCCUACUCCAGCCGCCAGUCCGAGCUACACCCAUUGCCCAUCGGAGGACUUUUCUACCGCUGGGGCGUAGAUCUGUGCGGCCCCUUCAACCAGACUCAGCAUGGCAACCGCUACGUGAUGGUCUGCGUGGAGCACUUCAGCAAGUUUGUGCUCCUGGUGCCCAUACCGUCCAAGCACGCCCACGUCACUGCCCUCGCCUUCAAGCAACACGUGCUGGGCGUCUACGGUUCCUGCGCCGAGGUUUGCACAGACCAAGGCAGCGAGUGGAAGGGCGAGUUCGCCACAGUGCUUCUCGACGCUCUCAUCGACCAUCGCCAGACCUCUGCUGAUCAUCCCCAAGCCAACGGUCUCACCGAGAGGGCUGUGCAGACCUGCAAGAAGGCGCUCACCAAGCUGGCGCUCGGCGCCGGCGCUGUGACCGACUGGGACCAACACCUGCCGUCCAUUCAACUUGGCUACAACUGCUCCGCGCAGUACUCCACCAAGCUCAGCCCGUACACCCUCGUCUUUGCCAACGACCCCGUCGUCCCUCCUGCGGUGAGGCCUCGCUUUGACCAGGACCUGGACUUGGAUGACCCCGAGGCAGCGGCACGCUCCGUGCUGCUGCGCGCCGCCGCCCUGCGGCGGCACAUGGCCAUCGCCGGCGGCAACCUGGCAGUGGCGCAGCACCGUGACAAGCUGCGCUACGCCCGGAUGCGCGGCGGCGGCUACGACCCCAAGAUCCGCAAGCUGGAGGUGGGCGACUACGUCUACUAUCGAAACACCAGCGAGCGCACCGCACUGGAAGCCCAGUCGCGGCCUGACAUCCUUCGCGUGUGUGACCUGCGUCAGUCGGGAGUGGUGGUGCUCGAGGGCCGCUGCGGCACGCAGAUCACCACUCACGUCACGCACGUGGCACCCUGCCACCUGCCCAUUGCUGACACCGACACGGAUCCUCGCCUGGCACGCCCGUCUAUCACCCUGUCCUGCGAAGUCUGCAAGAUGCCCGACAACGAGGAGUGGAUGCUGCUGUGCGACGCCUGCGGCACGGGCUGGCACACGUUCUGCCUCAGCCCGCCUUUGGAGGGCAUCCCCGAGGGCUCAUGGGUCUGCCCUACCUGCAGCAGCAAGGGCGUCUCCGCGGACAGCCUUCGCCAGGAGCAGACGCAGCGGCGUGCGGCCACCGCGGUGCCCGCCAAGUUCCAGAAGCUGCAGGGAGCGCUCGCCAUGCGGGCAGCCAAGGGUCGCCGCGCGCGCAGUGCGGCCAACUCAGGCGUGGUCAGCUACGCAGGGCAGCGACGGCGUGUGCACCAGUUCCUUAUUGAGUAUCCCGACGGCAGCAGCGAAGUGGUCACCCACACGCAGCUGCGUCCCCGUCUCGUCUCCCAGCCCAGCUCAGCACUGGCCUCAGCCGUCAGUGCGGCCCCGGCGCUGCCAGCGCUCGUAGGCAACGCGUGGCCCGGGCGGGUCAGCUGCCCCGCGUCCACUGCUUCAGAGCUGGCGGCACUUUCCCAGGUGAUCAACAUUGAGCAUGCCUCGGCUAUCUACGCGCCCUGGAACGUGCCUGACGCGACCGCGGCCUGGCUGCGGGCGCACGGCUGCCACCUGCGGCGCGGCAAGCCUACUCAGGGAGCUGCGGCGGCGUCAGCGGAGUGUCUGCAGCGUGCCAGCGAUGACGGUGUGAAAAUGAAUGUGCUGUGGUGCGAGGCCGAGCCAUUAGUUGUAGAUGCGUGCCUUGACGAGGCCCGAGCGUUUGUUACUGAAGCUAUUAUUGCGCGCAUGCCCCGUGAUUAUGUUGCUACUGCCAGCAAGGCCCGCCUUGCCUGGCUGCGGAAGCGCCAUGCGUGCGGUGACCUGAUCAUUGCUUCGUGCGCGACGUGUGUGUGGCUGAUUUAUUUAGGAAAGGGUGUCAAACGGUGGGGGUUUGUCACCGGCGCGUCCGCCGGCGACCCCGUGCUUUGAUUCAGUUGGCGGUUUCAUCUCCUGGCGCACUAGGCGCACAUGUACUGUGGGUGCCUGCUUCUUCCAGCCCCGGCCUGCAUCUGCGCCGUGGCUGGGGGGGGGGAUAAACAUCAGGGCACGUUCUGUUAGCAUCAGCACGCAUCAGGGCGUGACAGCUGUCACGCCAGGGCGUGGGACCGGACAUGGCGUGGGACCGUGCCGGGAAAGCUGUGAAACCCGGGGUCAGAACCAGUGCGGCUGUCGAGUUGUGAGUCAGCACGUUACUAAGCAGGCACAACUCCCGUGUGCCGAUUACCGUAGCAAUGCUCUGUUUGGCCCUAACUGCCCGUAAGAGCUUGUGUGUUUGAGUGAGCUGGGUUUGUGCUGCUAGGUUAUGCGGAGUGAGGAAGUUGCGUUAUCCGCCAGUCUGACGCGCGGAGGCGGGCGGAAUGAGGCGGAGACAGGUUUAUCCGCCCCGGUAGCUCAAGACAAGUCGUCUUGUCUUGAACUAUCUGGUACUACUUGCUGGUUAGUGAUUUCAGAGACAACGACCAUUCUACAAUACUCGUGGAUAGCACGAAGUGCACAGACAGAGCCGCCUCUGUAACUUUGAGGAGACAAGAACCGAGCACCCUUGAUACGCACAGUAGUCUACGCGCUUAAGAGAGCAGUAAGCCACGUAGCACUCAUAAACAUCAGGGCACGUUCUGUUAGCAUCAGCACGCAUCAGGGCGUGACACUGGACCCACAUAUCCCUCCCCCCCCCGCCUCCUUAGGGGCACCAUCAGAUGGGCCACACAUUGCCACCUGCCAUACCUGCAUCAGCACCCCAACUCCUAGUCCCAGCCUGAUUAUACAAUGCACCAUGUGCCAACACUCCAUACAAAUGCUGGAAACACAAACAGCCAACUGCCCCACAGCCACCUGGACCCACAUAUCCCUCCCCCCCCCCCCCCCCGCCUCCUUAGGGGCACCCACAGGUGGGCCAUGCAUUGCCACCUGCCAUACCUGCAUCGGCACCCCAACUCCUAGUCCCAGCCUGAUUAUUCAAUGCACCAUGUGCCAACACUCUAUACAAAUGCUGGAAACACAAACAGCCAACUGCCCCACAGCCACCUGGACCCACAUAUCCCUCCCCCCCCCGCCUCCUUUGGGGCACCAUCAGGUGGGCCAUGCAUUGCCACCUGCCAUACCUGCAUCGGCACCCCAACUCCUAGUCCCAGCCUGAUUAUACAAUGCACCAUGUGCCAGCACUCUAUACAAAUGCUGGAAACACAAACAGCCAACUGCCCCACAGCCACCUGGACCCACAUAUCCCUCCCCCCCCCCCCCUGCCUCCUUAGGGGCACCCACAGGUGGAUGGGCCACGCAUUGCCAUCUGCCAUACCUGCAUUGGCACCCCAACUCCUAGUCCCAGCCUGAUUAUACAAUGCACCAUGUGCCAGCACUCCAUACAAAUGCUGGAAAUACAAACAGCCUACUGCCCCACAGCCACCUGGACCCACA
rnacentral:lncRNA from 1 species